GACGAACGCUGGCGGCGUGCCUAAUACAUGCAAGUUGAGCGCUGAAGGUUGGUACUUGUACCAACUGGAUGAGCAGCGAACGGGUGAGUAACGCGUGGGGAAUCUGCCUUUGGGCGGGGGACAACAUUUGGAAACGAAUGCUAAUACCGCAUAAAAACUUUAAACACAAGUUUUAAGUUUGAAAGAUGCAAUUGCAUCACUCAAAGAUGAUCCCGCGUUGUAUUAGCUAGUUGGUGAGGUAAAGGCUCACCAAGGCGAUGAUACAUAGCCGACCUGAGAGGGUGAUCGGCCACAUUGGGACUGAGACACGGCCCAAACUCCUACGGGAGGCAGCAGUAGGGAAUCUUCGGCAAUGGACGAAAGUCUGACCGAGCAACGCCGCGUGAGUGAAGAAGGUUGUCGGAUCGUAAAACUCGGUUGGUAGAGAAGAACGUUGGUGAGAGUGGAAAGCUCAUCAAGUGACGGUAACUACCCAGAAAGGGACGGCUAACUACGUG
rnacentral:rRNA from 1 species